AUAAAAGCAAGCUAUAAUCUGGUCUAGUAAUAGAAAUGACAGUUUAUAAAGUUUUAACAAUAGUGAAGCUGUGAUUUUCAGCUGUUGCUACAUCCGCAGGUGCGUGAUCUCCGAAAUGAGCCUUAUCGAUAUGCUUAAAGACUAUCAAUACUCAAAAAAUCGGUAUUGUAUCAUUUACAGCCUAUAGAUGUCAGUAUCCAUCAGAGAGAGAUAUUAUUAAGUAAACUUGUGUCUCGAGGAAUGUAUGAUGAGGGCUUUGUGAAAAUUUCUGUAUAAUACAUUUUUUACUGUAUAAAUAGAAAAGUUUUGGGGAAAAAAUCUGUUGGUACAUGACUACAUGUAUAUACAUGUAUGUAAUUGCAGAAAUUUAGCGAGUAAAACGUUCGAAGACGUUACGUACUAGUACGUUUUCAGAAGUUAGAAAAGAAGAAACAGGUGUUCGACUGGAUGUCUAAUUUUAUGUAGCAUAGCCAUAUUAUGAAAUUCAUUUAUCCUCUCUCAUUUUAAAAUACUCAAACACUUUAAGAAUGAAGAUGUAAUGUUGUUUCUGGUGCAUAGUAAUAUUUUUAGACAAUUAUUUGUUUUUAUGUCUCCGAACAGUGUAAUUUUAUUUCCUUUUAACAUGUUGAUAAAGUAUGUACAUGCAAUUUUACAUUUAGAAUAAAAAAAAUCUGAUGAGGGUAUUUGUUUCAGAAAAAUAUAAAAUAAAUAUUGCAAGCACAUGUAUAAAGAAAAGAUUUAAAAUUGAAUUUUCAGAUUCAUUACUUUCCGAAAAAAUAUAUUUUGGUAUUUAUUCUAAUUAAUAAAUUGAAAU